rnacentral:rRNA from 1 species
CAAAAACAUGUCUUUAAGAAUAAAUUUAAGGUCUGUCCUGCUCAAUGAUUUUAAUUAAAUAGCCGCGGUAAUUUAACUGUGCUAAGGUAGCAUAAUAAUUAGUCUUUUAAUUGGGGUUUGGAAUGAAUGGUUAAACGAGAAAAUUACUUUAUUGAUUUUAUUUUUUUGAAUUUUAUUUGUUGGUUAAAAAGCCAACUUUUUAAAGAGGGACGAUAAGACCCUGUAGAUCUUUAUAAUUUAAUCAGUUUUUAUUUUUUUGUUGUUUUUUUUGUUAUUGUUUUCUUUGUUUUAUUGGGGUGAUAACUAAAAAUUUUAAACUUUAGUUUUUUUUUACAUUAAUUUUUGGGUUUUAUGAUCUUUAAUUUUGGAUUUUAAGAUUAAGAUACCUCAGGGAUAACAGCGUUAUAAACUUGGAGAGUUCUUAUUGAUAAGUUUGUUUGCGACCUCGAUGUUGGAUUAAAAUUUUACUGUGGGGUAGUUUUUACAGUUUUAAGUCCG